rnacentral:rRNA from 1 species
UACGGAGGGUGCGAGCGUUGUCCGGAAUCAUUGGGCGUAAAGAGUUCGUAGGCGGACUGUUAAGUUAGGUGUUAAAGGCGCAGGCUUAACCUGUGUAAGGCACUUAAUACUGACGGACUGGAAUUCGGUAGAGGUAAAGGGAAUUCCCGGUGUAGCGGUGAAAUGCGUAGAUAUCGGGAGGAACAUCGGAGGCGUAAGCGCUUUACUGGGCCUGAAUUGACGCUGAGGAACGAAAGCCGGGGUAGCAAAUGGG